GAUGAACGCUGGCGGCGUGCUUAACACAUGCAAGUCGAGCGGUAAGGCCCUUUCGGGGGUACACGAGCGGCGAACGGGUGAGUAACACGUGGGUGACCUGCCCUUAGCUCUGGGAUAAGCCUGGGAAACUGGGUCUAAUACCGGAUAUGACUCCAUGACGCAUGUUGUGGGGUGGAAAGCCUUGUGCGGCUAGGGAUGGGCCCGCGGCCUAUCAGCUUGUCGGUGGGGUGANGGCCUACCAAGGCGACGACGGGUAGCCGGCCUGAGAGGGCGACCGGCCACAC
rnacentral:rRNA from 1 species